rnacentral:lncRNA from 1 species
GACAGUGAGCCUUGACUUCAUUCCAAAGGACUGUCUUUGGAGAUAUUUAAAAGGAGGGUACCCAAGAAGAUGGAGCAUUUUGUGUGAAGAGUGGACUAGGCAGCUGAAGAAUUGCCACAGGCUUUCAGGGCACCAUCGAAUCUGUGCAAGUCCUUCAGAUGAACAACCCCCCCUCUGAAAUGCUUAAUCCAGGGUUGGAUCAGCAGAAAGAGACUAGAAGGGUGCACUGAGAAAUAAGAAAUAAAAAGCUGAGAAAAUAAAGGAGAAGUGACCUC